rnacentral:rRNA from 1 species
GAUGAACGCUGGCGGCGUGCCUAAUACAUGCAAGUCGAGCGAACGGACGAGAAGCUUGCUUCUCUGAUGUUAGCGGCGGACGGGUGAGUAACACGUGGAUAACCUACCUAUAAGACUGGGAUAACUUCGGGAAACCGUAGCUAAUACCGGAUAAUACUUUGAACCGCAUGGUUCAAAAGUGAAAGACGGUCUUGCUGUCACUUAUAGAUGGAUCCGCGCUGCAUUAGCUAGUUGGUAAGGUAACGGCUUACCAAGGCAACGAUGCAUAGCCGACCUGAGAGGGUGAUCGGCCACACUGGAACUGAGACACGGUCCAGACUCCUACGGGAGGCAGCAGUAGGGAAUCUUCCGCAAUGGGCGAAAGCCUGACGGAGCAACGCCGCGUGAGUGAUGAAGGUCUUCGGAUCGUAAAACUCUGUUAUUAGGGAAGAACAUAUGUGUAAGUAACUGUGCACAUCUUGACGGUACCUAAUCAGAAAGCCACGGCUAACUACGUGCCAGCAGCCGCGGUAAUACGUAGGUGGCAAGCGUUAUCCGGAAUUAUUGGGCGUAAAGCGCGCGUAGGCGGUUUUUUAAGUCUGAUGUGAAAGCCCACGGCUCAACCGUGGAGGGUCAUUGGAAACUGGAAAACUUGAGUGCAGAAGAGGAAAGUGGAAUUCCAUGUGUAGCGGUGAAAUGCGCAGAGAUAUGGAGGAACACCAGUGGCGAAGGCGACUUUCUGGUCUGUAACUGACGCUGAUGUGCGAAAGCGUGGGGAUCAAACAGGAUUAGAUACCCUGGUAGUCCACGCCGUAAACGAUGAGUGCUAAGUGUUAGGGGGUUUCCGCCCCUUAGUGCUGCAGCUAACGCAUUAAGCACUCCGCCUGGGGAGUACGACCGCAAGGUUGAAACUCAAAGGAAUUGACGGGGACCCGCACAAGCGGUGGAGCAUGUGGUUUAAUUCGAAGCAACGCGAAGAACCUUACCAAAUCUUGACAUCCUUUGACAACUCUAGAGAUAGAGCCUUCCCCUUCGGGGGACAAAGUGACAGGUGGUGCAUGGUUGUCGUCAGCUCGUGUCGUGAGAUGUUGGGUUAAGUCCCGCAACGAGCGCAACCCUUAAGCUUAGUUGCCAUCAUUAAGUUGGGCACUCUAAGUUGACUGCCGGUGACAAACCGGAGGAAGGUGGGGAUGACGUCAAAUCAUCAUGCCCCUUAUGAUUUGGGCUACACACGUGCUACAAUGGACAAUACAAAGGGCAGCGAAACCGCGAGGUCAAGCAAAUCCCAUAAAGUUGUUCUCAGUUCGGAUUGUAGUCUGCAACUCGACUACAUGAAGCUGGAAUCGCUAGUAAUCGUAGAUCAGCAUGCUACGGUGAAUACGUUCCCGGGUCU